rnacentral:rRNA from 2 species
UACGGGAGGCAGCAGUAGGGAAUCUUCCACAAUGGACGAAAGUCUGAUGGAGCAACGCCGCGUGAGUGAAGAAGGGUUUCGGCUCGUAAAACUCUGUUGUUAAAGAAGAACAUAUCUGAGAGUAACUGUUCAGGGUAUUGACGGUAUUUAACCAGAAAGCCACGGCUAACUACGUGCCAGCAGCCGCGGUAAUACGUAGGUGGCAAGCGUUGUCCGGGAUUUAUUGGGGCGUAAAGCGAGCGCAGGCGGUUUUUUAAGUCUGAUGUGAAAGCCUUCGGCUCAACCGAAGAAGUGCAUCGGAAACUGGGAAACUUGAGUGCAGAAGAGGACAGUGGAAACUCCAUGUGUAGCGGGGAAAUGCGUAGAUAUAUGGAAAGAACACCAGUGGCGAAGGCGGCUGUCUGGUCUGUAAACUGACGCUGAGGCUCGAA